rnacentral:lncRNA from 1 species
GUUUCCAGGCCAACAUCCCCCUAACCCCUCCACCUCCCCUUCUCUAUGGGUGCUCCCCUCCCCAUCCUCCCCCCGUUACCACCCUUCCCGCAACAAUCACAUUCACUGGGGGUUCAGUCUUGGCAGGGUUCCACUGGUGCUCUUACUAAGCUAUUCAUUGUACGUAUGCAGUUGGAGUCCAGGGUCAGUCCAUGUAUAGUCUUUGGGUAGUGGCUUAGUCCCUGGAAUCUCUGGUUGGUUGGCAUUGUUGUUCAUAUGGGGUCUCAAACCCCUUCAAGCUCUUUCAGUCCUUUCUAAGAUUCCUUGAGAGAAUGUUUUGAUGAGAAAAGAUACAUGGUGUCUUUCUGGAACUUUCCUGGUGAAAGUGAAUGUUUUGUUUUGCUGGGAUGGACACUUGAGAGGUGCAUGAAUGUUUGGAAAGAGUGUAAGUAUAACCUAACACACAGUGGAUAAAGCUCUUGCAUUUAGAACCUUAGAACCAUUGCUGGUUAUCAUUGGGCUUUUCUGAUGGUUGUCUUCACUGACAACACUCUUACAUUGGUUCAUCUGGGUUUCUUUGCUGAUCUUCACUUGUUGUGACUUCAUAAAGAGAAAUGCACCAAAGAACUCCUGGUGAUAUUUUAGCUGCUUCUUGCUGCUUCUGUGGACUCAUGCUGAUUGGCUGAACCUUGCUGUUUCUUCUGGAUCAAGCUGCCGCUACUUAUUUGUAUAUGGUGUUUGCUAA